rfam:Gossypium arboreum cultivar AKA8401 contig_6010_9, whole genome shotgun sequence.
UUAUAAAAAUCUAUCGAUUUGUAUUAUUAAAAACUAGCAUAGCUAACGAAAUAACUAGACAGCAGCAUGUGGUAUGCCACAUAUACCUCAUGUUGACAUAUAAGGACUAGUUUUUAACAAUAGAAGUAGAUAAAAUGUUUAACA